rnacentral:lncRNA from 1 species
AAAAUUCCAAACCAAAAUAUUAUCCAACAUUGUGUUCAACUACUUGAAUUCAAUCUUUUGAAUGAAUGCUAAUGGAAAUAAUGGAAGAACUUUGGGAAACAGCUUUCGCUUGCCCAGUCCACACUUCGGCAGCACAGCGCCCUGUGAUGGCUAAGAAGGAUUGCCUUCGACUUCCUUUCCUUUGCACAGUCGAACCCUUAUUCAUGCCUAAGUAUCUUUCACAUUUUUUUUUGGCAUUUGUGAGGUCCCCUUCAUCGACUUUUAUAGAUAGAUUAGGCUAGGGUCAGCUAAUAGCUUAUGAUUAUCUUCUCCGCUUUUAGGGGGAUUUAUCGGGUACAAGUUUGAAUUUGAACAGGGACUGUUGCGCGAAAAAUGUUGACUUAGUCUUCCCGACAUUGCCACAGCAUCCGUGCUAGCAAACUAUCUUCACUUUUGCCUUGACAAAACUUAACUCCUUUAUUUCCUCGUUCUAAAACAUGUUCCAGCCAUACCAACACACAAAAAACUCCAUCACAAGUAAUUAAAAGUACCUAAUUCCAACACAGUCCAAGUCCUAAUGCAAUAUUAAAAAUGCUAACUAAAAUAUCCUAAAAAUGCAACAAAAUGUACUUAAGUACAAGCCAUGAGCUAGGUCCAAAGGCAUGAAAUAUAACUCUUUUCAAGAGUUAUUAGACAUGAUUUCACAUCCAAUGCAAAAAGUAUAGGAAAGGCUUACUCUUGAAACUUAGCAUAGGGGUUUAAGCUAAUCCUAAGCUCCUAAUUAACACUACGAAUCGCGCGUACCAGCAGCAACUUUAGAAUACUCAUCGAUCUCACUUUCGCUUGCUAACCAAAAGCUUAAAAAAGCUACGCCUUGCCUUUCGCCUUGCUCGUAGAGGGCUCCAAUGGUUCCGAAACUUUAC